GACGAACGCUGGCGGCGUGCUUAACACAUGCAAGUCGAACGGAAAGGCCCUGCUUGCAGGGUACUCGAGUGGCGAACGGGUGAGUAACACGUGGGUGAUCUGCCCUGCACUUCGGGAUAAGCCUGGGAAACUGGGUCUACUACCGGAGAGGAGCCAUUUUUAGUGUGAUGGUUGGAAAGUUUUUUCGGUGUAGGAUGAGCUCGCGGCCUAUCAGCUUGGUGGUGGGGUAAUGGCCUACCAAGGCGGCGACGGGUAGCCGGCCUGAGAGGGUGGACGGCCACAUUGGGACUGGGAUACGGCCCAGACUCCUACGGGAGGCAGCAGUGGGGAAUAUUGCACAAUGGGCGCAAGCCUGAUGCAGCGACGCCGCGUGGGGGAUGACGGCCUUCGGGUUGUAAACUCCUUUCGCUAGGGACGAAGCUUUUUGUGACGGUACCUAGACAAGAAGCACCGGCUAACUACGUG
rnacentral:rRNA from 1 species